rnacentral:rRNA from 1 species
UACGGAGGAUCCGAGCGUUAUCCGGAUUUAUUGGGUUUAAAGGGUGCGCAGGCGGGGGAUUAAGUCGGCGGUGAAAUUUUGCAGCUCAACUGUAAAAGUGCCUUCGAAACUGGCUUCCUUGAGUGUAGAUGAAGUAGGCGGAAUUUGUGGUGUAGCGGUGAAAUGCAUAGAUAUCACGAGGAACUCCGAUUGCGCAGGCAGCUUACUAAACUACUACUGACGCUCAGGCACGAAGGCGUGGGGAUCAAACAGGAUUAGAUACCCGGGUAGUCCCU